rnacentral:rRNA from 2 species
UGGAUCCAGACUUUGAUCCUGGCUCAGGAUGAACGCUAGCUACAGGCUUAACACAUGCAAGUCGAGGGGCAGCGGGAUUGAAGCUUGCUUCAAUUGCCGGCGACCGGCGCACGGGUGAGUAACGCGUAUCCAACCUUCCGUACACUCAGGGAUAGCCUUUCGAAAGAAAGAUUAAUACCUGAUGGUAUGAUGAGAUUGCAUGAUAGCACCAUUAAAGAUUUAUCGGUGUACGAUGGGGAUGCGUUCCAUUAGGUAGUAGGCGGGGUAACGGCCCACCUAGCCAACGAUGGAUAGGGGUUCUGAGAGGAAGGUCCCCCACAUUGGAACUGAGACACGGUCCAAACUCCUACGGGAGGCAGCAGUGAGGAAUAUUGGUCAAUGGACGAGAGUCUGUACCAGCCAAGUAGCGUGAAGGGUGAAGGUCCUACGGAUUGUAAACUUCUUUUAUAAGGGAAUAAACCCUCCCACGUGUGGGAGCUUGUAUGUACCUUAUGAAUAAGCAUCGGCUAACUCCGUGCCAGCAGCCGCGGUAAUACGGAGGAUGCGAGCGUUAUCCGGAUUUAUUGGGUUUAAAGGGAGCGCAGACGGGUCGUUAAGUCAGCUGUGAAAGUUUGGGGCUCAACCUUAAAAUUGCAGUUGAUACUGGCGUCCUUGAGUGCGGUUGAGGUGUGCGGAAUUCGUGGUGUAGCGGUGAAAUGCUUAGAUAUCACGAAGAACUCCGAUUGCGGAGGCAGCACACUAAUCCGUAACUGACGUUCAUGCUCGAAAGUGUGGGUAUCAAACAGGAUUAGAUACCCUGGUAGUCCACACGAUAAACGAUGGAUACUCGCUGUUGGCGAUAUACUGUCAGCGGCUUAGCGAAAGCGUUAAGUAUCCCACCUGGGGAGUACGCCGGCAACGGUGCAACUCAAA